AUUCCAUGUUGUGGGCAUUUCCUUAGAAUCUCCUUAUACCUUUCCCAUAUAUAGUAUAAUAAUUUGGAUUCUAAUUGAUGAAAAGAACAGAUAUCACUUCUGAGAUU